rnacentral:rRNA from 1 species
UGGGGAAUAUUGCACAAUGGGCGCAAGCCUGAUGCAGCCAUGCCGCGUGUAUGAAGAAGGCCUUCGGGUUGUAAAGUACUUUCAGCGGGGAGGAAGGUGUUGUGGUUAAUAACCUCAGCAAUUGACGUUACCCGCAGAAGAAGCACCGGCUAACUCCGUGCCAGCAGCCGCGGUAAUACGGAGGGUGCAAGCGUUAAUCGGAAUUACUGGGCGUAAAGCGCACGCAGGCGGUCUGGCAAGUCGGAUGUGAAAUCCCCGGGCUCAACCUGGGAACUGCAUCCGAAACUGGCAGGCUUGAGUCUUGUAGAGGGGGGUAGAAUUCCAGGUGUAGCGGUGAAAUGCGUAGAGAUCUGGAGGAAUACCGGUGGCGAAGGCGGCCCCCUGGACAAAGACUGACGCUCAGGUGCGAAAGCGUGGGGAGCAAACA